AAUACAUGAAUUUGUAAGUUUUUAUGGAAGUUUUGACUCUUCGUCUUAUUUAAUUUUUUUAUGAUUAAUAUUUUUACUGUUACUACGUGAUAAAAUAUGAAUAGUAUUUUACGUGCGACUAAUUUUUUAAAACUUUUUAGUAAUUUUUUUAAAUAAAACGGAUGGUCAAAUGCUCAAACUAGAAAAUC
rnacentral:pre_miRNA from 1 species